CAUGUAUAAAUGCUUAUCGGUCGUCCCACUGUCUAUAUCACUCUGUUCAGCUCUUAAUAUUAUUCCGUAUCAUGUCUUUGUGACGUCAAAUACGUUGACCCGGCCUUAAUAACUUUGACCCGGACAUAUCAGCGACGUCAUAAUGUUUGAACCGACGUUAAUAACUUUGACCCGAACUUAUCAAGUCAUCUUUUGUGUGCUGGUGAAACAAAGAAAACACUUCUGAAACACGCAAAUAUAGCCCGAUAAAUCGAUUAUCAGAUUAUCUGCAUAUUGAUAUUGUAAAAUAUCAGCUGCUUGACAUUAUAUGAAGGCGUUUUGAUCUCGUUCGCUACGCUCACUCGACAAAAAGCUUCAUAUUAUGUCUCGCAACUGAUAUUUUACGAUAUCAACAUGCAGAUAACCUGAUAAUCGGUACAUAUUCA
rnacentral:lncRNA from 1 species